rnacentral:rRNA from 1 species
AGCCUGAUCCAGCCAUUCCGCGUGAGUGAAGAAGGCCUUCGGGUUGUAAAGCUCUUUCGCAAGGGAAGAAAACUUACACAAUAACACUGUGUGAGGCUGACGGUACCUUGAUAAGAAGCACCGGCUAACUACGUGCCAGCAGCCGCGGUAAUACGUAGGGUGCGAGCGUUAAUCGGAAUUACUGGGCGUAAAGCGUGCGCAGGCGGUUUUGUAAGUCAGAUGUGAAAUCCCCGAGCUCAACUUGGGAACUGCGUUUGAAACUACAAGACUAGAAUAUGUCAGAGGGGGGUAGAAUUCCACGUGUAGCAGUGAAAUGCGUAGAGAUGUGGAGGAAUACCAAUGGCGAAGGCAGCCCCCUGGGAUAAUAUUGACGCUCAUGCACGAAAGCGUGGGGAGCAAACAGGAUUAGAUACCCUGGUAGUCCACGCCCUAAACGAUGUCUACUAGUUGUUGGUGGAGUAAAAUCCAUGAGUAACGCAGCUAACGCGUGAAGUAGACCGCCUGGGGAGUACGGUCGCAAGAUUAAAAACUCAA